rnacentral:rRNA from 1 species
AUUGAACGCUGGCGGCAGGCUUAACACAUGCAAGUCGAGCGGAGAUGAGGUGCUUGCACCUUAUCUUAGCGGCGGACGGGUGAGUAAUGCUUAGGAAUCUGCCUAUUAGUGGGGGACAACAUUCCGAAAGGAAUGCUAAUACCGCAUACGUCCUACGGGAGAAAGCAGGGGAUCUUCGGACCUUGCGCUAAUAGAUGAGCCUAAGUCGGAUUAGCUAGUUGGUGGGGUAAGGCCUACCAAGGCGACGAUCUGUAGCGGGUCUGAGAGGAUGAUCCGCCACACUGGGACUGAGACACGGCCCAGACUCCUACGGGAGGCAGCAGUGGGGAAUAUUGGACAAUGGGGGGAACCCUGAUCCAGCCAUGCCCCGUGUGUGAAGAAGGCCUUAUGGUUGUAAAGCACUUCAAGCGAGGAGGAGGCUACUGAGACUAAUACUCUUGGAUAGUGGACGUUACUCGCAGAAUAAGCACCGGCUAACUCUGUGCCAGCCGCCGCCGUAACAC